AGUGAACGCUGGCGGUAGGCCUAACACAUGCAAGUCGAACGGCAGCACAGUAAGAGCUUGCUCUUACGGGUGGCGAGUGGCGGACGGGUGAGGAAUACAUCGGAAUCUACUUUUUCGUGGGGGAUAACGUAGGGAAACUUACGCUAAUACCGCAUACGACCUACGGGUGAAAGCAGGGGAUCUUCGGACCUUGCGCGAUUGAAUGAGCCGAUGUCGGAUUAGCUAGUUGGCGGGGUAAAGGCCCACCAAGGCGACGAUCCGUAGCUGGUCUGAGAGGAUGAACCGCCACACUGGGACUGAGACACGGUCCAGACUCCUACGGGAGGCAGCAGUGGGGAAUAUUGGACAAUGGGGGCAAGCCUGAUCCAGCCAUACCGCGUGGGUGAAGAAGGCCUUCGGGUUGUAAAGCCCUUUUGUUGGGAAAGAAAAGCAGCAGGUUAAUACCCCGCUGUUCUGACGGUACCCAAAGAAUAAGCACCGGCUAACUUCGUG
rnacentral:rRNA from 1 species